AUUUUAUUUUGUUUUUUUCUAUGCCUUAGAUGAAUGCAGACUCAAAAAUAUACACAAUGCAACACACACUUCCUGAGCCCUCCCCCAACCUUAAAUCACACAGUCCACUGUGCGAAUAAACUUGGAAGAGAGUACUCAGGACAGAUCCAAUCACAGAAACAAAAAAUGAAGAAACAAAUCACAAAAGAUGAUAUAAUACAAUGGUGAAGUGAGGCGCUUACCUCAGUCGAAGAAUGAACGUAGUUGCUCGUCAAUGGCUGCCUGCGAUUGCUCCCAGGCCAUAGACGAACCGUCUUGUUCUGUAUCAGCUCCAGCGGGUGGGUACUCGACCUCAUCAGCUCUGUGGCGGCCAGCACCGCUCUGAGGAAACUCGACCUCUCUCCUUCUGCUGCGGCCAGCACCGCGGUCGCGUAAACUACGAGACUGCAGAAGUCGUGCGCUCCUACUGCUAGAUCGAGUGAGUGUGGUCCUCCUCUUCCUCCCAGAUUCACGAGGCUUGAAUGAUGAAUGCCUCGAAGGGACAUGCGGAAUCUCCUGCUCUCUAGGCAAAGGCCUGCGUCGACUUGGCUCGGGUGCGUCAUAUCUCCUCGAAGGCAUGUCCUGAGGGAGAUGUCCCUGCGGAAUCGCUGUAGUGGAAGAGGAGCAGCAGAGCUUGUUCUUCAUAAACUUGAUAGCCCUGAGGCACUUGGCGAGUAACUUGUCCUGUUUCAUGCACCACUUCUACAGCUUGUUGUUGUUUCUGUGAGCUUCGCUCAAACUCCUGCUUUCCCUCGCAGGAGGUAUAUGCUCACUGAAAUGAUACAUGCUCGUGUCAAACUCCGUCGCAUCUAUAUCAUCCGUCUCAUCAAUAUCUUCUGUUGUAGCUCGUUCGGUAUGACUGAUCUCCUCAGUUGGCGGACUACCCUCGAAAUAAAGUUCUUCAAGCGCAGGCUUGAAGUCAAUGUUCCUGCCCUCGAGAAUCCUAGUAGCGUUAAUGCAGGGGAGAAGAAUGUUGGCGAUUUUAAUCGAUGAAUGCUCGAACCUGUAGCGGUGAAAGUCACCAGCCAUGUCAAACUCCAAGAACUCACAUCUGCGCAAAUGAUCCAAGUCCAUCAUCCUCGGUGCUAAACCUA
rnacentral:sRNA from 1 species